rnacentral:rRNA from 1 species
UACGUAGGGGGCAAGCGUUGUCCGGAUUUAUUGGGCGUAAAGAGCUCGUAGGCGGUCUGUCGCGUCGGAUGUGAAAACCCAGGGCUCAACCCUGGGAUGCCGGUGGAUACUGCGAGGCUAGAGUCCGGAAGGGGCGAGUGGAAUUCCUGGUGUAGCGGUGAAAUGCGCAGAUAUCAGGAGGAACACCAAUGGCGAAGGCAGCUCGCUGGGACGGUACUGACGCUGAGACGCGAAAGCGUGGGGAGCAAACAGG